rnacentral:rRNA from 1 species
AUACAUAGGUUAACGAGGCGAACCGGGGGAACUGAAACAUCUAAGUACCCCGAGGAAAAGAAAUCAACCGAGAUUCCCCCAGUAGCGGCGAGCGAACGGGGAGCAGCCCGGAGUCUGAAUCAGCUUGUGUGUUAGUGGAACGGUCUGGAAAGUCCGACGGUACAGGGUGAUAGUCCCGUACACGAAAGCACACAUGCUGUGAACUCGAAGAGUAGGGCGGGACACGUGGUAUCCUGUCUGAAUAUGGGGGGACCAUCCUCCAAGGCUAAAUACUCCUGACUGACCGAUAGUGAACCAGUACCGUGAGGGAAAGGCGAAAAGAACCCCGGCGAGGGGAGUGAAAAAGAACCUGAAACCGUGUACGUACAAGCAGUGGGAGCCUCUUUAUGGGGUGACUGCGUACCUUUUGUAUAAUGGGUCAGCGACUUAUAUUCUGUAGCAAGGUUAACCGUAUAGGGGAGCCGAAGGGAAACCGAGUCUUAACUGGGCGUUAAGUUGCAGGGUAUAGACCCGAAACCCGGUGAUCUAGCCAUGGGCAGGUUGAAGGUUGGGUAACACUAACUGGAGGACCGAACCGACUAAUGUUGAAAAAUUAGCGGAUGACCUGUGGCUGGGGGUGAAAGGCCAAUCAAACCGGGAGAUAGCUGGUUCUCCCCGAAAGCUAUUUAGGUAGCGCCUCGUGAACUCAUCUUCGGGGGUAGAGCACUGUUUCGGCUAGGGGGCCAUCCCGGCUUACCAACCCGAUGCAAACUACGAAUACCGAAGAAUGUUAUCACGGGAGACACACGGCGGGUGCUAACGUCCGUCGUGAAGAGGGAAACAACCCAGACCGCCAGCUAAGGUCCCAAAGUCAUGGUUAAGUGGGAAACGAUGUGGGAAGGCACAGACAGCCAGGAUGUUGGCUUAGAAGCAGCCAUCAUUUAAAGAAAGCGUAAUAGCUCACUGGUCGAGUCGGCCUGCGCGGAAGAUGUAACGGGGCUAAACCAUGCACCGAAGCUGCGGCAGCGACACUAUGUGUUGUUGGGUAGGGGAGCGUUCUGUAAGCCGUUGAAGGUGUGCUGUGAGGCAUGCUGGAGGUAUCAGAAGUGCGAAUGCUGACAUAAGUAACGAUAAAGCGGGUGAAAAGCCCGCUCGCCGGAAGACCAAGGGUUCCUGUCCAACGUUAAUCGGGGCAGGGUGAGUCGACCCCUAAGGCGAGGCCGAAAGGCGUAGUCGAUGGGAAACAGGUUAAUAUUCCUGUACUUGGUGUUACUGCGAAGGGGGGACGGAGAAGGCUAUGUCAGCCGGGCGACGGUUGUCCCGGUUUAAGCAUGUAGGCGGAGGUUCCAGGUAAAUCCGGUACCUUUUAACGCUGAGGUGUGAUGACGAGGCACUACGGUGCUGAAGUGAUAAAUGCCCUGCUUCCAGGAAAAGCCUCUAAGCAUCAGGUAACAUCAAAUCGUACCCCAAACCGACACAGGUGGUCAGGUAGAGAAUACCAAGGCGCUUGAGAGAACUCGGGUGAAGGAACUAGGCAAAAUGGUGCCGUAACUUCGGGAGAAGGCACGCUGAUGUGUAGGUGAAGCCCCUGCGGGCGGAGCUGAAAUCAGUCGAAGAUACCAGCUGGCUGCAACUGUUUAUUAAAAACACAGCACUGUGCAAACACGAAAGUGGACGUAUACGGUGUGACGCCUGCCCGGUGCCGGAAGGUUAAUUGAUGGGGUUAGCGGCAACGCGAAGCUCUUGAUCGAAGCCCCGGUAAACGGCGGCCGUAACUAUAACGGUCCUAAGGUAGCGAAAUUCCUUGUCGGGUAAGUUCCGACCUGCACGAAUGGCGUAAUGAUGGCCAGGCUGUCUCCACCCGAGACUCAGUGAAAUUGAACUCGCUGUGAAGAUGCAGUGUACCCGCGGCAAGACGGAAAGACCCCGUGAACCUUUACUAUAGCUUGACACUGAACACUGGUCCUUGAUGUGUAGGAUAGGUGGGAGGCUUUGAAGCGUGGACGCCAGUCUGCGUGGAGCCGACCUUGAAAUACCACCCUUUAAUGGCUGGUGUUCUAACGUAGACCCGUAAUCCGGGUUGCGGACAGUGUCUGGUGGGUAGUUUGACUGGGGCGGUCUCCUCCCAAAGAGUAACGGAGGAGCACGAAGGUUGGCUAAUCCUGGUCGGACAUCAGGAGGUUAGUGCAAUGGCAUAAGCCAGCUUGACUGCGAGCGUGACGGCGCGAGCAGGUGCGAAAGCAGGUCAUAGUGAUCCGGUGGUUCUGAAUGGAAGGGCCAUCGCUCAACGGAUAAAAGGUACUCCGGGGAUAACAGGCUGAUACCGCCCAAGAGUUCAUAUCGACGGCGGUGUUUGGCACCUCGAUGUCGGCUCAUCACAUCCUGGGGCUGAAGUAGGUCCCAAGGGUAUGGCUGUUCGCCAUUUAAAGUGGUACGCGAGCUGGGUUUAGAACGUCGUGAGACAGUUCGGUCCCUAUCUGCCGUGGGCGCUGGAGAAUUGAGGGGGGCUGCUCCUAGUACGAGAGGACCGGAGUGGACGCAUCACUGGUGUUC